GAACAGCUUGCUGAAUCAUGUCCUUAUCAAGAAAGACUAAUAUAACUUGAAACUUGAAAAAGAAAACAAUAAUUGCCAGGAACAAAGAAACAUACUCUUCUCCAGAAUUCCCAGGAACCAAACGUAUUCCUUCCAAUGUUUCAAAGAAAUCAGAAAUGUUUCCUUCUUAUAAUUUCAAACCAGGAAACGUUGGAACAAGUCUUAUAUUUAAAUCCAUUCAUCAAUUCAAAACCGUUCAAAGCAGAUUCGUUCAAAUAAUUUCGGGAACAGGUAUGUUAAGGCUAUCCUUUCUUUCUUUUGGCAUGGUCCUAAUUAUACUAAAGAAACGAGCAAAUACAAAGUUUUUAUAAAUUAUUCUAUUCAUAGAAAUAGUAGGGUUGUCUAUAUUCUUGAUUCCCCAUGAGAAUUAUUAUUAUCUUCUGUUCAUGGGUCUCAGAAUAAUACGCAGUUGGAAAAGUUUAUCCGAAAGGAAUAUCGAGAUUAUUAUGUGCUUUUCAUGCAUUUCACUCAUUUAUACAUGUACAUUGACCCAUGACCAGAUGACGUUAUAUACGCGUAUAUAUGUAAAUAUAUGUCUAUGGGAUAUGGGAAAAGUUUACGGCGUUAUAUACGCACCACCACCUGAUCAGCUGAUAUAUGUUGAUGAUGUUGACCACAGUGGCUGAAAUAUGAUUCAAACGGCGUUAUAUACGCGUAUAUAUGUAAAUAUAUGUAUAUGGGAUAUGGGAAAAGGUUAUGGCGUUAUAUAUGUACCACCAUCUAAUCAGCUGGUAUAUGUUGAUGAUGUUGCCCACAGUGGCUGAAAUAUGAUUCAAAUGGCAUUAUAUACACGUAUAUAUGUAUGUAUAUAUAUGUAUAUGAGAUAUGAGAAAGGUUAUGGCAUUAUAUACGCACCACCACCUGAUCAGCUGGUAUACGAUAAUGAUUUUGCCCACAGUGGCCGAUAUGAUAUGAUGGGAUGCCCUCAGAGGCUGAUGAUGUUAUGAAACAUGUACCUAUGCACGACAUGACAUUCAUACGCAUAUGCAUGAUACUAAAAGUAAUUUAUGAUUUACAAAGUUAUUCCGACUUACAGGUUGAGUCAUGUACUCUAUAUUUCUUCCAUGUCUCUUAUGUACUUAUUUAUGUGUCUUACAUACUCAGUACAUUAUUUGUACUGAUGUCCCUUUUGCCUGGAGACGCUGCGUUUCAUGCCUGCAGGUCUCGAUAGACAGGUCGAGAGCCCUCAAAGUAGGCUAUCAGCUCAGCGGAAGAUGUUGGUGCGCUCUAUUUGCUUCGGAGUUUUUUGUUUGGUUAAUAUGGUUUAGACGUGUAUUAUUUGGUAUGGCUGGACUCUCUCCCGACCUUUAUGACAUAUAUGUACUCUCAGAGGCUUGUAGACAUAUGUCGUAUACGUGAAAGAUUGUAUGGCCUUGUCGGCCUAUGUUUUGGGUUUAUAAAUGAUUAUAUUGGCCUAUUAGGCCCGUAUGUCACGCGUAUAUGAUGAUGUAAUAAGAAAGAUAUGUUACGUUGGUACUCGGUCGAGUAAGGUACCGGGUGCCCAUCGCGGCCUAUCGAUUUGGGCCAUGACAAAAGUGGUAUCAGAGCAGUUCUAUCCUAGGGAGUCUACAAGUCAUG
rnacentral:lncRNA from 1 species